AGGAAGCUGGCUGGUGCUGGGUGGUCUACGAAGACGGGGACUCCGAAGAUCUUAAGUGGCAUGAGCGGGAAGAUAUUCUACUUCCUUUGGACAUCACGGUUCCUCUGAAAUCGUUGGCACUAAAGGUCAUCGGGAAAGGCCCGAAAUCCACUAACAAAUGCCGAAGGAGCUUGAUGCCGUUUCGAAAAGGUAAGGCCGCUAAUUCGGGAACAAGGUGAAGAUAAGCGAGGGUGGUUGAGGAAGCUGGUCACUGGAUUCAUACCUUCUGAAUGCAGAUGCUGAGCACCGCGGAUCGGCCAAAGGAUGGUAAAAGUACCGUAGGAAUAUGAACGAACUGUAAAUGAUUUUGAGCUGCAAUUAUGUUUCUCCCUAUCUUAGGUGCCAUUUUACUUCAAAUCUCGUCUUUGUUAAAUUGAUAUGAACAGAUACUACACUCGAUCUCAACCAGAAAGGUAUCUGUUUGUAUUUCUUCUCCUUGCUGAGGAUCAUCGAAGAAAAAAGGUGCCUAAAUAAAUUUACCCACUUCUGGAUUUGUCUGUCUCUUCAUUUAGG